rnacentral:rRNA from 1 species
GAUGAACGCUAGCGAUAGGCCUAACACAUGCAAGUCGAGGGGCAUCACAUGAAGUAGCAAUACGGAUGGUGGCGACCGGCGCACGGGUGAGUAACACGUAUGCAACCUGCCUUCAACAAGGGGAUAACCCGUUGAAAGACGGACUAAUACCCUAUAACACAGGGGUCCCGCAUGGGAAUAUUUGUUAAAGGACAACCGGUUGAAGAUGGGCAUGCGUUCCAUUAGCUAGUUGGCGGGGUAACGGCCCACCAAGGCAACGAUGGAUAGGGGAACUGAGAGGUUUAUCCCCCACACUGGUACUGAGACACGGACCAGACUCCUACGGGAGGCAGCAGUGAGGAAUAUUGGUCAAUGGACGCAAGUCUGAACCAGCCACGUCGCGUGAAGGAAGACGGCC